UGCAACACCUCAACUUCACCACAAUUUUCAGAAAGCAGACUUGUCACACAAAACAGAGCACAGUUGAAUCAAAGCAGUUAAAUUCAUUCAAGAAGAGAAAAUAAAAAAAAAGGAAACACACAUUGAAACAAAAAUUAAAAUUAAAAAAAAAUUAAAAGUAAAGGUUUAGAACAAUGGGUUGCCUCCCAGCAAGCGUUUCUUUAACGUCACUAGCUUGACCCAAUAAGCUCAUGACACAUCAACCAGCUGCAUCUUUGAUUGUGGUAUCAUCCUUUC
rnacentral:lncRNA from 1 species